CGCGGCCCCGCCCCCGGUUGCUAUGGAGGUUCGCGCAUGCGCCGUGCCGCGGCCCCGCCCCCCGUUGCUAUGGAGGUUCGCGGCCCCGCCCCCGGUUGCUAUGGAGUUUCGCGCAUGCGCCGUGCCGCGGCCCCGCCCCCCGUUGCUAUGGCGGUUCGCGGCGCCGCCCCCCGUCGCUAUGGAGGUUCGCGCAUGCGCCGUGUCGCGGCUUGUUGCUAUGGAGCACGGUCCACAGCGAACUGCAGUGCCGACAAUUAAACACAGGGUGGCAGCAGCGAUCACGGUCCCCAGCGAACUGCAGUGCCGACAAUUAAACACAGGGUGGCAGCAGCGAGCACGGUCCCCAGGGUGCUGCAGUGCCGGCAGUUAAGCACAGGGUGGCAGCAGUGAGCGCUGCGCGCAUGCGUUGGGUCGCUGUGCGGGGUGCGGAGCUGGCGCAUGCGUCCUGCUCUGCCGCCUCGUUACGCAUGCGGGGCCGGGGCCGUGCUGAGAGGCCUGCGGGGGGAAGGCUGCGGCGGCAGCGGCGUGGAGCGGCAGCGGGGCCGGGCCGGGCCGGGCCGAGGAGGGCUUUGCAGUGCCGGGAGCUGAACUGCUUUGCCCCAGCCCAGCUGCAGAUUUGCACUCAGCCUCAGCCCCAAGCCCUGGCAGGGUGGGAUGCUUUGGUACCAGGCCGUGGAGCUGUUUGAAAUGCAAUUGCUGCUUGCAGCUGGUUCAGAAAUGGAUUUCCUGUGGCUGUGGGGGCAGAAAUGUGUCUGUGCACACGCUCAGAGGACAGGUCCCUGGAUUGCAGUGCUGCUCCAAUGGCCUGUGGUGGCUGCAGGCAGCCGCGGCCCGGGGAGCCCAAGACUCAGCGUGUGGAAGGGUUGGGAGCAGCCCUGGGUGCCUGCAAGGAUUCGGGAGGUGAGCUGAGCAGGUGAGAUGGAUCUGAGACACC